UGCUUGCACCUUAUCUUAGCGGCGGACGGGUGAGUAAUGCUUAGGAAUCUGCCUAUUAGUGGGGGACAACAUUCCGAAAGGAAUGCUAAUACCGCAUACGCCCUACGGGGGAAAGCAGGGGAUCUUCGGACCUUGCGCUAAUAGAUGAGCCUAAGUCGGAUUAGCUAGUUGGUGGGGUAAAGGCCUACCAAGGCGACGAUCUGUAGCGGGUCUGAGAGGAUGAUCCGCCACACUGGGACUGAGACACGGCCCAGACUCCUACGGGAGGCAGCAGUGGGGAAUAUUGGACAAUGGGCGGAAGCCUGAUCCAGCCAUGCCGCGUGUGUGAAGAAGGCCUUUUGGUUGUAAAGCACUUUAAGCGAGGAGGAGGCUACUUAGAUUAAUACUCUAGGAUAGUGGACGUUACUCGCAGAAUAAGCACCGGCUAACUCUGUGCCAGCAGCCGCGGUAAUACAGAGGGUGCGAGCGUUAAUCGGAUUUACUGGGCGUAAAGCGUGCGUAGGCGGCUGAUUAAGUCGGAUGUGAAAUCCCUGAGCUUAACUUAGGAAUUGCAUUCGAUACUGGUCAGCUAGAGUAUGGGAGAGGAUGGUAGAAUUCCAGGUGUAGCGGUGAAAUGCGUAGAGAUCUGGAGGAAUACCGAUGGCGAAGGCAGCCAUCUGGCCUAAUACUGACGCU
rnacentral:rRNA from 1 species